rnacentral:rRNA from 1 species
GGAAGGGGCAAGCGUUGUUCGGAAUCAUUGGGCGUAAAGGGCGCGUAGGCUGUUUUGUAUGUCUGCUGUAAAAGCACACGGCUCAACCGUGUAAAGUCGGUAGAAACUGCAAAACUUGAGGCUGGGAGAGGUUGGUGGAAUUCCCUGUGUAGCGGUGAAAUGCGUAGAUAUAGGGGAGAACACUCGUGGCGAAGGCGGCCAGCUGGACCAGUCCUGACGCUGAGGCGCGACAGCGUGGGGAGCAAACAGGAUUAGAUACCCUGGUAGUCCACGCCGUAAACGAUGGGCACUAGGUGUUGGCGGUACUGAUUCCGUCUGCGCCGGCGUUAACGCAGUAAGUGCCCCGCCUGGGGAGUACGGUCGCAAGGCUGAA